GUUUCGCCUUGCGACGCCACCGUCCCUCAGUGGCUGCGGCAAGCGUCACGGCGGCGGCUCUCUCAAUGUCAGCGAUUCUGAGACAUCUUGUCGCGGCGAGUGGGGUUGUCGCGGCCCGCCUGUAGCCGGCCAGGUCACUGAGCACUUCCACAUGGUGGCUAGCACAGGACCAAACUUGAGAUGAGCAGCUCAUCACAGCUGAUGAAAAAUUGAGCUGAUCCUUUAUCCAACAUGGUUCUUACUUUCUCUACUAAAGAAGAUGCCAUUGCCUUUGCUGAAAAAAAUGGUAUUAUAUGUAUUAAGUAUGAGGGAUUCAGCUUCCUAUAGACAAUCUUGAUCUCAAAGUAUUAACAACAGAAAAAGUGCAGGAUAAAGUACCUUCCCUCUAUUCCACAAAAUUUCUAGUGCUUUACUUGAGGAGGAGGAAAACAGGGGAGUGAUAUUUCUGAGGAUGCUGAAGGCAUUGAAUCUAGGCCUUCCAUGUUCUGGAAAAGUGACCCAGCCUCUUAGCAUUACUUUUGCAAGUAUCUGUGCUUUGAAUGAGAACUGAGCCUUGCUUAGGUCUUGGAGGAAAAUUAAUAUUAAUACUUUAAGAUAAAACCUGAAUCCUGGCCAUUAUAUUAAUGAGUUAUGUCAUUUCUUUGGACAUGCUAUAUUUUGUCCCUUUGAAAUGCAGAUUCAAGUAAAAUACUUGAGUUGUUCAGUGUAUGAAGUUUAUGCCUCCACUGAAUUAGUAAUGCAUCUCCAUUGUGCGGGAAAACUACAAAGAAAUUUUACCAACUAAACUAAGGCUGCGACUUAGUAUUAAUAUUUAUUAGUUCAAUAUUCACUUAGUUUGCACCCAUAAUUUUACCAUAAUUGAGAUGUACACCACUUUUCUUUGGAUACUGGCUUACCUAAAUUUUAUUUUUAUUUAAGGUGUUAUAGUUUUAUGUGCAUGUUAUGUUCAUAGUAUUUUCUGUAGUAGUAGCUUCAGUACCAGAUAUAAUUGGAAAUAUAAAUUUUACAAUAUUUAGUUCUGCUUUUAGAAAGAAGUGAGAAACUUAGGCACACAUUUACAAUGGAACUUGGCUUCUAAACUGAGGUAUUACUGAAACAUGUCUUACGGUUUAGAAACACAGUAUUCACCUCUCUGUCUUUCCUAUAUGAACCAUCCAAGUUUUCCAUAAUGAAAUUCUUUAAGAACCUCAACUUAAGUUUCUGCAAAUCCUAGAUAUUGGAGCUAUUUUGAUACGAUUGGGAAACCUACCAAUUCUUUCUCACCUAAUAACUUCAGCAACCUGAGGCAAGCUAUCUUUCUGCCUGUCCCUUCUGAUGUGUUUUCUAAUGUAGGAAUAACAGCACUGAAUACAGUAACAGGAGAGAUCUCUGGCCAAAAUAUGGCAGCUGAGGAUGGUCUGAAGUCAAAACAAGGAGGAAACACUUGUAACUGGAUGAAAUUAAAAGUUUAGCCUGUGGACCUAAAUUCUUUUUUUGUCCUGUCCGACAUCACUGAGGCAGUUAUUUAAAAACAUACAGCUUUAGUAACAAGGAUGCAGAGUUUUUCUACUCCACAAUAACCUUUAGUCAGGUGAUGAGGGUGUUCUUCUAGAAGCGAUGAAAUCUGCUUUCUAUCCGCUUGGCUUGUGUGACAGGCUUCUGGGCAAGAAUAACCUCUCCCACCAUUGUGGGGUUUUUAUAACAGUGACCUCUGCUCUCUGUCAUGAAAAACUGAAGGUGCCUUACUCAAGGAGACUGUUCCAGAGUGUGAAAUAUUAUCACAUAUGGCUGCCUCUUGCAAUCAAAAGUUAGAUGUAACGAACUUUGUGGAUUUUGGAUAGCUAUGGCAGCCCAAGUCAUUGUUCUGGCAGUUGUGAAUCUCUUUUGGAGGCAUUCAGCUCCUCUCUAUCUAGUGUAUAAAAAGAUGAAACAAUAAAUUGGGGCUGUAGAUUCCAUUCCAGCAGCCAAGUGCCUCAAAGUUAGGUGUUAUAAUGCUGAAUGUUGCAAUACCAAAUUCUGUCUCUGGAUCUAGUUCUGGCUGUUUACUCAAGUUUAUAUUUUUAAUCAGCACAGUAGGCAAAAGUCAGUGCUCUCACAGAUGGAAAUAAUAUGUUUUUAAAACCUCUAGUCCAGUAUUUCUUAUGGAGAAUAGUUAACUUGGAAAUUAACAUUGGUUCAGCCUAAUAAACAUUAAGAAAGUGUUUGUGUGACAUUUGUGAUUAACAAAAUUGAGACACAGUGACAUGACAACUUGUGUAUCUUAUGAAACAUGUUCUGAUGUGUAGAUGUAUCAUGAAUGUUUUCUGUGAAUAUCUUAAAUGUAAAAAUUCGGAUAUAUGUUAAACCUUUUAGGAUUUAUCAAGUUUUUGUUUUAAAACUAAGGAAGAAAUGUAUUAUCUUAUUAGUAUCAGUUAAAACUGUAUACUUACCCACUUCUAGCUUGAACUCAAGUAUCUCAACUUCGAGUGAAAUGUUGCAGCUAAAGAGAUCAAACUUCGUAAUACUGAGUGCUGCCCUGGCAACUUUCCAGGUUGGAGCUAUGAUGACGAAGAGAAGAAGAUUCCAAAAACCUAAAUCCAAGUCUUACGGUGCAAAUUUUCUUGGAACACAAGAACAAGGGUAUCUACAAAAUAGGUUGGCAUUGGCUGUGAAUAAAUUCAGCUGUGCUAUAUUUAUAGUCCAUAUAUAAUACAUCUCUUAAUCUCCUAAUAAAUUUGACCUUUAACCUA